CAAAGAAUUUGGGCAUUGGACACGGCGAAACGACUCCAUUUCCUUUGAAACUUCUUUAUCUUUGGUAUAGAAAUGAGAAACUUGUUUCUUUAUUCGUCCUCCUAAUCAGAAAAGAUAAACAUGGAAUCAACAGUUAGAACAGCCGUCUUCACAAGGAAAAAGAUACGUAUCGAUUUCUGACAGCCAAACAAACUAUUUCCAGCCACCCAUGAAAACAACCUAAAAUUCACUGAGACAAUUCUUCCACUUCCAUAACAAAGGAAUGCCUGUCCAGGGACCGCAAGUCGCAAGGCAAACAUUCUUGUCCCCACUCAACGAUUGCAAGGAAGCAGCUGCUUCUCAGUAAGUUUUCUUACUUUUUUCCUCCCUUUCUAAAUUCAACAACAUCACCCAACCACUUUUCUUAGCUGUUGCAUGGCCCGGAGUUUGUGUCUGUAUGCCCUUGUGUUGGAGAAACAUCCCAUGAGUAAACUUGUCACGCACCCUUAACACCGAGCUGCCGCACCUGCAGCUGAAGCCAGUUCCCUACUCAGCUUGCAGCGCAGUGACACAGGCUGGCCACAUUGCCACUAAGCACUAACUUCUCAUGCACAGAGACAGAAGAAAACCUUUUCAGAACUGUGGCAAGCCAAGAGAGGAUGUAUGUGCCAAACAUGGCUUGCAAACUCCCAAUCUGGGCACCUGCCUUCGACAUUCAGAGAUCCACCCUGGAGACAGCGCAAAGUGAUGGGGAAUAUACUGACAUGGGAGCCUCGUCUUGCUAAUAUUUCCUAAGAUGUAUAUCUGACUAUCUGACGAACUACAUCUGCUUCAAGCUAAGGUUUCUAAAAUGGUUCACAAACACAGGAGUCAUUUUUACAGGGUUAUAGCAAACCAGUAAGUAUAAUAAAAUUAAUAAAAUCCCAUUUUUCCUAGAAUUGACAAAA